rnacentral:rRNA from 1 species
CGCUCGAUGUUUUUCUUCUAUAUCGAGUCGAACCUGCCCAGUGAUUUUUAUUUAACGGCCGCAGUACUCUGACUGUGCAAAGGUAGCAUAAUCAUUUGCCUUAUAAUUGGAGGCUAGUAUGAAUGGUUUGACAAGAAUAACGCUGUCUCUUAUAGAUUCUAUAGAAUUUGGUUUUUAGGUGAAGAAACCUAAAUAUAAUUAAAAGACAAGAAGACCCUAUCGAGCUUAAAAUAAUUUUUUUGAUAUAAUGAUAACACCUUACUCAAAAAAAGAUUUUAGUUGGGGCGACUAAGGAACACAAAAAGCUUCCUAUAAACUAUAAUUACUAAUAAGUAUUGAUCCAAAAAGUUUGAUUAACAGAAUUAGUUACCGUAGGGAUAACAGCAUAAUCUUUUCUAAGAGUCCUUAUCGAAGAAAAGGUUUGUGACCUCGAUGUUGGACUAGGGUGCCCAGACAGGUGCAGAAGCCUUCAAUGGUUGGUCUGUUCGACCAUUAAUACCCUACA